AGAACGAACGCUGGCGGCAGGCUUAACACAUGCAAGUCGAACGCUCGUAGCAAUACGGGAGUGGCAGACGGGUGAGUAACGCGUGGGAACAUACCCUCCGGUUCGGAAUAGCUCAGGGAAACUUGGAUUAAUACCGGAUACGGCCGAGAGGCGAAAGAUUUAUCGCCGGAGGAUUGGCCCGCGUUCGAUUGGCUAGUUGGUGAGGUAACGGCUCACCAAGGCGAUGAUCGAUAGCUGGUCUGAGAGGAUGAUCAGCCACAUUGGGACUGAGACACGGCCCAAACUCCUACGGGAGGCAGCAGUGGGGAAUAUUGGACAAUGGGCGCAAGCCUGAUCCAGCCAUGCCGCGUGAGUGAUGACGGCCUUAGGGUUGUAAAGCUCUUUCGCUCGGGACGAUAAUGACGGUACCGAGAUAAGAAGCCCCGGCUAACUUCGUGCCAGCAGCCGC
rnacentral:rRNA from 1 species